rnacentral:misc_RNA from 1 species
ACAAACUUGGUCAUUUAGAGGAAGUAAAAGUCGUAACAAGGUUUCCGUAGGUGAACCUGCGGAAGGAUCAUUAACGAGUAACUGAACGGGUUGUAGCUGGCCUUUCGGGGCAUGUGCACACCUGGCUCAUCCACUCUUCAACCUCUGUGCACUUGUUGUAGGUCGGUAGAAGAGCGAGCAUUUAAUGCUUGCUUGGAAGCCUUCCUAUGUUUUACUACAAACGCUUCAGUUUAAGAAUGUUUACCUGCGUAUAACGCAUUUAUAUACAACUUUCAGCAACGGAUCUCUUGGCUCUCGCAUCGAUGAAGAACGCAGC